CACGUAGGGUGCGAGCGUUGUCCGGAAUUAUUGGGCGGAAAGAGCUCGUAGGCGGUGUGUCGCGUCGGCCGUGAAAACCUGGGGCUUAACUCUGGGCUUGCGGCCGAUACGGGCAUCACUGGAGUUCGGCAGGGGAGACUGGAAUUCCUGGUGUAGCGGUGAAAUGCGCAGAUAUCAGGAGGAACACCGGUGGCGAAGGCGGGUCUCUGGGCCGAUACUGACGCUGAGGAGCGAAAGCGUGGGGAGCGAACAGG
rnacentral:rRNA from 1 species